UUUUUUUUUUUUUUUUUGUCUCUUUGAGUCCAAAUUACUGAAAACCUACAUUCCGUCACACAAUUAACAUAACCAAAUAUACCUAAUUUUAAUCAAAGAUUAUAAUUACAAAUAAAAAAGACUUACCAAACCCAAACAAAAAAAAGAUCUCAGUCUGCUGCAGAGAACCAUACAUUUGUGAGACAAGUUGCCAUCAUUAAUAUAGAUGCUCAGCUGGCAAGUUUAGCAAAAUAAACUAAAGAAUGGCAUGCUAAUUAAUUAAUGUAGUACCUAGUUCUUUAAAUUUUGCAGCUGUAUCAGAAAUCCACCAAAAUUAUAAUUCUGCAAUGAUGGGGUUCCAUUAUUAUUAGGGGUCCCCUCGUUCCUUCCUCUCUAACCAACAAAAGAAGUGAAGUUUACAGAAGAAAGAAAGGAAAAAUUAACUGGAAAAAAAAAAACAGUUAUUCUAAUCUAAAUGCAUCAGUGAAGUUGGUAAUGAAUUUCCAGGACCAUUUGCAUUGAAAAUUCAAUUUUUGAAUUCAAAACUUUUCUUUUCUUUUUUUUUUGGUGGGAUUGAUGCAUACACAAGAUAAUCAACCGCACAAGAAUUAAUUACAGACAUGUGGGAUGAAAACUAACACCUUAGAUUAUAGACUGAACUCAGCAUUCAAAACUUUAGUCAAGAAUACAUAAUAACUAGUGACUAGUCAAAAUGCUUACCCGGAUUGUACUGCAUUACUCUGAUGGAUGAAUUUAUGCAAGAAGUAGAGAACCAAAUAUUAUACACUUCAUCAGUUUAAGUUUCCCUCUCCUUUCUCUCCGUUGUUUUACCCGUUGCCGGAGUUUUAAGUUCCAUUUUCUCCUCCUUCCGUCUCUCUCUCUCUCUCUCUCUCUCUCUCUCUAUAUAUAUGGCUUUAAGAUUAUUCCUGCAGCUUUGUAGUAGUUGAAGUAGAUUGAUUAAUGUGUGGUCAAUCGUAUACUUCUUGCAAGAUUUAUUGUCCCUUUGUUAUGCCUUCCAAGUAAAUCAUGCUGUUACGGUAAUCUGGAUUACUUUUCCAGGCGGUGGACACUUCUUAAGCUAAAUUAAAGAAUUCGAGAUACCUACUCCUAAUCCAUUCGAAAACAGAUUGAGAUUAUAGUUUAAAGGAUUCUAUUUACGAGCUCAGUUCAGUUUUCUCAAAAUCCAAGCUCCAAAAAGUAUAGUGGACAUACCUAAUUAUUGCUCUACUGAAAAUGGUUUAUUUUGGAUGGGAAUGUGAUCGAUUUGUCACCUAAGAUUGUUUUGAUCAAAAUGGGCAGAGGCACAAAUCAACGGGUGAAGAAUCCAGAGGGAUAAAACCCUACAAAGGAAGAAACCCUCAAAUUGGUCACCACCACUUGUUUCUUUGAUCAUUUCUUAACGCAUUCUCAAAUUGGGUUGGAAGCAAAAGAAUUCAACAUUUAUAAUUUAUUCGAGUUCUAAAAAACUAUUCAAGAAUAUACAUGACUGGCAAUGAAUCAUUCAUUUUCUCACUUUACAUAUCAGUGGAUGAAUUGUGAUUACUUGGAUAGUAUAUAUACAGGUACGGGGAAUACGUCAAUGCAAGAAGUUUUUCAAAUCUGGAACUUGCUCAAGGUCUACUUGUAAGACAAGCAAUUUCCCUUCCCUGGCAAUUCUUACAUCGCGUGGACUCCAUGCAUGCACAUGGCUGUCUUUCUGUAAGCUGGAGCAGUUACUUUUUUUUCGGAAAUAACAACAGUUGUAUAACCUAAUCUAUUCUACACUAAGGGGAGGGACGGAUCUAAGGAGGUCCAGAAAUAACUCGGAAGGGGACUGAACCACUACCAAAUCAAACGAGUGCACAAUACACCCGUCUGAAUUUUUUGAAACAAAUCACUUAAAUGUGGUAUUUUGACCUCCCACUUCACCAAGCUAGGUGGUGGGCUGGUGGUUAGCUGGAGCAGUUACUUGGUCAAAGCUCCAUUAUAAUUUCCACAGCCAGGCAGUGCUUUUGUCACAUGAUAAGGUUUCCCACCACGUGCAAUACUACCGUCUUCAAUCAAAACAAAUUAUUAUCAUCAGUUAAAGUGUCCCCAAGAUUAGGUAACUUAAUUGCAUGGGGGGAUCAGAAGGACAAGGAGCUCAAAAAUGGAAGAAAUUAAGGGAGAUUGUGCAAUGAACUUUUUUCAUCCAGUUGUACAUGGCUCGUUUUAUUUUAUUCCAAAAGUGAGAUGACUAAAUAUGUUCAUCAAUAUCUAUGAGACAGAGUUUUUGAAUUUUUAAGUAUUUUUUUUUUUCAAGUUUUCUAGGGUAUGGUUGUGGACAGUUGUUCGAGUGAUUUUCACUCUUGAAAUUUGAUUCUGGCAUUGCUUAGAAUAGUUCAUUUGGUUUUGCAUCUGCCCUAUUUCUCCAGUAGCAUUAUUCUUUUGGCAAGUUAACAUACAAAAAGAAAAAGAGUGGAUUCUAGGGAGAUUACAGUCGUGAGUGGGGCUAUGUGGUGGAAUUCCAUAUGAUGAGAUUGUCUGCUACUACAUGAUUUCGUGAAAGCAUCUCAGUCAUUUCGCAAUCUUCUUGUUUCAGGUUAAAUAGGAGCACCAUUUAUUGGUCAGUUCACUAAUAAUUACAGAACUUUUAUGUAGAUAAAACAUGAUCUGCUUUACAUAACCAUGAAAGUAGUUCUCCGUCAAUGCAAAAAUCCAUCUCUCCUUCAUUAUUUUAUUUCCAGUAAUUUUUUUGAAGACUUGGAAACACAGAAAUCUGAGUGCAGAGUCAGCAACAGCAGGUCCAGCCCAGUGAUUCAGACAGUAGGCAGCCUGGAUUGAAAGUUUUAAAAAAUUUCAAGAGCCAGGUUUUACACACACACAAAAUCCACAGGCCUGAUACUGAGAAUCAACUCUAUUCUGUUUGCUCAUACAAUUACAGGCCCGCGUCAACUUAUUCUGUGAACCCAUGCGUAUACCACGCCAAUUCUCUAUGAGCUUAUUAAGUUUAUUUCUCUUUUAUUGGAGAAGCAUGUUCAGACGAAGGGAUUCAAGGCCUUUGCAAUCGUCCGUUUCAAUUGCAAUUAACACCAUACACUAAUUUGUUAGAUUUUGAUUUAGCGAUCAAAGUUAAAUCCCCACGAGUCGGAGAUUUUAAACUCAAAUUUCACUAUGUGUGAAUAUAUGUGAAUUUCAUCUUUCACUGCUGAUUGUUCUCCAUUUUUUUUUUUUUAAUAAGUUGAAGGUCUUGAAUCUAGAAUCUACCACUCAAUCCAAUCCUCCCCUCUCAUCUUCUAGUAAUAAGUUUAUUUGUGAUAUCAAUGAGUUAGUAAAUUUCUCGCUUCAUAAAUUAGUUUAUGCAUUCCAUGAUUCUAGAAAUUAUACCAACAGUGGAGGAUGCACUAAAACGAUCAUUGUCGAUAAACAACAAGAUGAAUAGAGAAAACUAACGUAAUAAUCAAAACAAACUUCAUCCUAAUUAUGUCUUACAUUUGGUUACAUAAAUCCAAUGUCAAAUGAUAUCCCAAUUGAGUCAUUAACCGAAACUUGCAAUUGCCGAGUAGUUUCUUAAUGUCACGGAUUGUUUGUUUUCAGAUGAACGUAGCGUACUUGAACAGCCGCUCCACCACAAUAAAAAUGUGUCAGGAGUCAGGACUACUAUAUACAGUGUGCGAUCCAUGUCGUGGAGGUUGGGUGCGAUCCGUGUCAUCAAGAGCCCAAGACAUCAGCACGACAAGAGUAGGUGCCUACUCCCAGUCAUUGCAUCGUUGUCGGUGUUGCGGUUAAAGCUUUGUCAGGCCAAGAUAUGGACGUCAUCAUUACAUCACAAAGUCGACUAGGCUUUGUUUUGGGAUAAUUUCAGAAACUUCCCUGAGGUUCGUGACAAUUUCACUAAACUGUCUCGAGAUUUUAAAAAUUAUACUUACCUCCCUUAGGUUGACAUUUUUGUAACAAAGCCUUAAACUUGGUCAAAAUUUUAAAUGAAAAACCUAAAAUGUCCUUAGUUUAUAAAGUUUAAAUUACUGAUCAUUCCAAACCAUUGAAAAAUAAUUCAACACAAAUGUAAAGGAAAAAUGUCAAGUGUUCAAUACAAAUCUAAGAGAAGAGUGUCAAGUUUCUAAUGCUCAUUUAUUGUUUGAUAAGCAACAACAAUAAUUCUAUCAUUAUGAUACGAUAUUAUGGUACUUUUCUAUAGAUAUAUAUAUAUAUAUUCCUUUUAUGUUGCUGAAGAGAGCGUCGUCAUAAUUCUUGUAGAAUUUGUGGAUUUUUAAAUUUGGUAGUUCUCUCUUUUUGAGUUAUUGUUACUUUUGAUUAAAAAAAAUUGGUCACAUUCAAAGUUUGUUAAGGAAAAUAUAAAUAUAUAUAUAUCACUAGUCCAACAUUUGAUAAUCAUAGAGGUUAAGGUCAAUGUUAAUAGUUCUAUGGUUUUACUGCCAAAAUAUAAAAAGGAGAAAUAAGAAGAGAAAAUGAAAAGAUUAAAUAAUUAUAAAAUCUAUCUUUUGUAUAAGCAUGCCCAACAAGAAAUUUUAUUAAAAUGUUAAAACUAGUUUUUUUAUUGUCAUUUUAAAUGGACGAGGGAAGUAAAUAUAAUUUUUAAAACUUCAAGGAAAUUUAGUGAAAUUGUUAUAAAUUUCAGGAGAGGUUUCUAAAAUUAUACCUUUUGUUUUUGGAGAGAGAGAGAGUGUGUAUAUGUGUGUGUGUGUUUGUGAAGUUUAUGCAGUCGUUGCAUUGCAUCAGUUCAUUUUCUGCAUCAGAGUCUUCUUUAGAACAAUUCUUUAUUUCUAGAAAAUGGAGCACUGAAUGGAAAUAAAAACGAAAAUUUCCUAGUCACUCGCAAUAACUUCUUGGAAUACAGCAUUUGGAAUAUCAAAAAGGCCCUUUUUCACCCUUUUGGGUUUCAAAGACAUUAGGCAUUGCUAACUUGGAAUUUGAAUACGAGAAAAAGAAAACAAUAAAGGGCUUAGCCAGCAGUAAACAACGAACGGUAAUUACAUCUUUUUUGUUUUGCUCUUUUUCUAAAUUUUAAGAUGCAGAUCGAGAAGACUUAACAAGGGCCAAUAUUCAAAAAAUGCGAAAAGAAAUUUGCAAAAAGAAAAAGGACACUACGGAUAGAGAAGGCAUGCUAGCAUUAACUGCAUGCUACUAGUAGCAUUUCCUCUGGGAAUAAAAAAAAAAAAAAAAAAAAAGUGGCUAGUACGUUAGUUCAAGUCCUAGGAAUCUCCGAAACAGAGACUGCAUGAUCACCAGAGGGGUGGAUUUUCUUGAACAUGGCAAAAAAGCAACUGCCAGAAGUGGGCUUCCCAGUUUGAUGAUUGCCAUGAUGAUGAUCAGCAUGGACCACUUUUCCUGAUCCAGAAGCGGCUGCCAGCUCUUCCAUUUUUUUUGUCAUCUUCAUUUUCUGAAGCUUCUUCAUUACCACGAUCUCUGCAAAACCAAUGCUAGGAGUUGACAUGAUAGCUGGAUUAGAGGGCAAAGAAGAAGGCUAAGAAUUGUGCUAGUAGAAUAGAAGAAUGGGGAGGUUGGAGGUUUGAUUGUGAAAUAUAUACUGAUCAGAGUGUUAUAGGUUUCUUGGCUGUGUUGCAAUAAAAUGAAUGAGGCAUUUGUUUUUCUGAAAUCUGGGAACUAUUUGGACUAAGUGGGAGACACAUUAAAUGCCCACAAGACAAUUGAAAAAACAAUGGCAGAAGCCGUGGGAAACAUAAAUCUCUUAAGUAGGGUCCCCGAAUUGGAGAGGACUUGGAAUUUUCCCCCCCUCAACACACUUCUGGGGUGUAGAUGUCUAACAGGCUAUAAAGAUUUUUAUCUGAUUUUCACGUUUUCCUUUCUUUUGCUAACUAUCAUCGUGGUCAUGGAAUGUCAAUGUGCUUUCAGACAAAUAGUAGGAAAUAGAGAAUUGAUGCUAGUGUGCAUCUUUGCAAAUAUUUUUUUAAAUUUUUCAAAUUUAUAUUUUUAUGGACUAUAAUUUUAUGAUGUUAUGGUAGUACUAACAAUUGUUUCUUAGAUGGUUUUUUUUUUUUUUGGGAGUAAAUAAUUUGGCUUAGGAGUAUAUUUAUUAAGCAAAAUGAGCAAAUGGUAUUUUUAGGAUUUUUAAAAAUUUUGUUACACCAAUAACAAAGAUAAGUGAAGUAAGUGAUAUCUUUAAAAUUUUAAGAAUGUUAAGUAAUAUUAAGAGAUACCUCAUGAGAGGUUCUGAUAUUAUCCCUAGUACUUAAUAUCUAUUUUCGAUAUGGUGAUUUCUGCCAUAUUAAAAAUGGUACUUUUCGUAAUGCGGGCAAUGAGCAUAUGCCUAAAUAAGAAUUUUUGUGAGUGGAGUUGAUAAAGAAAGGUUUAAAAACUAAGGGAAAAAAGUCCCAAUGGCUCACGAACUUUUAACUACAUAAGGUUUUAGCCCUUCAAUAUUUAGAAGUAAACUUUUGGCCCCCGAUCUAUCAAUAAUGUAAAUUGCUGGUCCUUCUGUGAAUUCUGGCCGUUUAUGUGUGACAAAAAUGAGGACAUUUUUGUCCAUUCAGGAAUAUUAAUCGAAUAUCCAAAGUAUCAAUGGACACCUCAAUCAAAAUGGACAUUAACUCACAAAUAUACACAGGAAAAAACCUCAAAAAUCCCAUUUUUUCAUUCUCUUUUUAAUAUUUUCACACAAUUAAGUGGAUCUGAAACCAAACCUUAUGUACCUCCUCCUCUAUGCACUUUUCUCCAUGUGAAAUUGAGUGAGAGAGAGAGAUAGCAAUAAGACAAAAAAAAAUAUUCAGCAAUGGAGAGAGGAGGUGGCGAUGGAUCUUUGCAAUUGAUGCUUUCUUCUCUAUGCUUGCUUUUCUCCUUUCUCAUCUUUUGUAUCAUGCUUCUAUCAAGGAUGGGUUUCUUAAGAAAAGGAAAAAGAUGAAGGAUGGGUUUCUUGAGAAAGUGAAGAAUUCCAAUCAAGAUAAUGGAAAGAAGAUUAAAGAAUCAUUGGAUUUGGAAAACCCACUAUGGAUGUCAUCGGACCCAUCAGCUAUUGUUUUUCUUUUGCUUUGAAGCUACAAUGCUUAUUACUUUUACCUUCCAGGGGGUCACCCCUAAAGAGUUUCAUAUGGUAUAAAAUUAAUGAUUGUAAAUAGGGAAAAUGACAUGUUUUAUCAUUCACAUUUCGUAAAAAUAUUCUUUUCAUCCCUCACUUUUAAAAUGAAGCAAAUUUGUUCCUGACAUUUAAAAAUUAAAACUAUUAUAUCCCUGAACCUAAUUUUCAAUCUGAAUCAAACCAUUCAAUAACCCAAUAAUAAAUUUUAAAAAUAGAAUUGAUAGAUCACUCGGUCAAUUUCAUCAUAUUCACAUGACAUUUAUUAAUCCAAAAAGAUAUAAAUUAUAACAUAAAAGGCCAUUCUUUGUCUUGAAAUAGUAGAGUUUUGUUUGGGUAAAUCUUUUCAUACAUCGUUAGUAUAUCAGUUUGCGAAUCUAGAUGUGUAUCAUAAAUAUAAAAUUUGGUGUUUAAAUUUAAAUUGAAAUGAUAUGGCGGUACAUAAAACCGUCAGUAUAUACAAUGAUAAUGUAGGAAAGAUUAAUCGUUCUUUUUUAUGUUAUAAUUUUUUAUUUUUUAUUUUUGAGUUCAUUAAAUUUUACAUGAAUAUCAUGUUGAAUUAACCAAGUGAUCUACCAAUUACACCUCUAAAAUUUCUAAUCAGGUUGAUUGGUGGUUUGAUUCAGAUUGAAAUUUGGAUUCAGGGAUAUAAGAACUUCAGUUUUUAAAUGUCAAGGACGAAAUUGCUUCGUUUAAAAAGUGAGGGAUGAAAAGAAUAUUUUUGUAAAAUGUGAAGGACGAAACCGAUCAUUUUCCCUUGUAAAUAUGUUGAUUUUAUUUGCAUUUGUAAGAUUCAAAAAACCCAUUUGUUCGUUUUAUAAGUUUUGUACAUAUCUGUGUUAAAGAGUGACUUUUAGGCGGUAAAAAUUUGGAAUCUUUGAAAUUUCUUAAUUUUUUAAUUUUGUCCUUUAAAUAGGCGUCAUAGGAUUUGUUGCAUUUGGGUAGCAUUGUUAAAGUUGAGGAGAAGUUUGAUUUUACAGAUUUCAUUAGAGAAAAUGGUUUUAUUUUUUAGCAGGAGUUUGAGUUUACUGAUUAAUAUUUCUACAUGGACAAGAAUGCCCUCAUUUCCGUUACUCAUAACGGCUGAAAUUCACAGAAGGGUUAACAAUUUACACUAUUCAUAGAUUGGAGGCCAAAAGUUUCUUUAUAAUUGUUGAAGGGCUAAAAUUUUAUUUGGUUAAAAGUUGAAGGGUCAUUGAGACUUUUUUUCCCAAAAACUAACCACUAGAUGGAAGGAUUUAGUUAAAAAACUAGCCACUUGAUUAGUGAAGUACUUAAUUAUGACUGGAAAUGAUAAAGAACUGGAUAUUUCGCUUAUCUCUUUUUUUUUUUUUUAUGGGUGGGCUUAUCCUUAUCCUUCAAUGCAUAGCAUAACGUACUUAACAAUGAAAAUAAAAAAUGAAAAAGGAAGAAAACCACCUCCCUUCCAUCCGUUAAAAAAAAAGGUUGUAGGGCUUGCGUUGUUUUUGUUGGGAGAGAGGGAGCAAAACAAUGGGGAGACUGCAAAAGAAAUUAUUGGGCCUCAUUUGUUGUUCGACACUGUUUGACUUCCGUGGUCCCAAAAUUAUUUUUGAAGUAUAUAAAGGUUUUUUUUUAGGGUAAAGGAAAUAUAAAAAGGUGAAACUCAAUUGGUAGGGAAAUUUUUAAAUCAAUCAUUGUUGCUUUUUCUUCCUCAGUUUCCUUAAACCAAAAAAAAAAAUGAAAGGAGGAAAAAAAAAAAAAAAAGAGUGACUCGAUGUAUGUUCAAGACCAUAACGUAAGUUGUGGCAAAUUCUUUUUUCUUUUUGAAAGAAGGGAAACUUACACACUUUAGGCCUGUUUGAAAUUGCAGUAACUUAUAAAAAAACAAUUCUGAUACAAGUAUUUUUUUUAAAAAAUGAUUUUAAAUUACCAAAAAUUGGACUCUUUAAAUUACGAGAAAUUAGUUAUCAAACACAUUAGGAGUAUUUUUAGCAGUUAAAAGAACUUUUUUUUUGAGGUCCUGAAGAUUGGCAAAAAAGAUGAAGUGAAAAAAAUGUUAAAAUGGAUGCAAAAUGACAUGGGAUAGACCUUUAGGGGAAAACGUCACUCGAGAUGGAGCAGAAGGCCAUAUGUAACACUCAAAGUUACAAGCUAGAUAUUUCUGCUGAAAUUGAUAAAGUGAAAAAAAAAAAAAAAAAAACCGGCAUGAACAAGCAGCUGAAGACGACCAACAAGAUCAAAUGGAGUUACAAUAGCUAAGGUUCUAGCCUAAAGAAUUGGAAUAGUGUCAUCGCUGUUCUAUUUCUGCAAUAUAUUACUGUUUUAUUGGUUUUUGGUUCUUCUAUUGUUGCUUGUGAGGUUUUUAAAAGAGUUUCCCUUUCUCUUGACUGAUUUUUUGUUUCGUUAGUUUUUGUCCCGACUUGUUUUUCUUUCACUUUCCUUCCAUUUUUGCUAAAUUGAUUACUUUUCUUUCUCAUAAACGCUGUCCUAUACAUGCAAGAAACAGCGUUCAAGUCUGUCUUGGGUUUUUUAGUUUUACGAAAAUUAAGAUAGACAACAAAAAAAGUUUACAAGCAAAAGGAUGACUCAUUUUGCUAUCCUGUCAUUUUUCUUCUCAUUCAAAUGAGUCUAUCCUUUUACUUUUCAUAAUCAACAGAACGUAGAUGUGCAAAAGUAAAACAUUUCAAGGGCUGUACUCAAAGAAACCAAAAAAUAAUAACAAAAUCGAAAAAAAAGUACAAAUUUAGUUGGGGUAAAUUUGAUAAUGGUUGAUAUGAUACUAAAAUGUGCUUUUCCAGCUCUUUGGCUGGAUGCAUUUUUUUUGAGUUGCGGAAAUAUAAAGACAUGCAAGCAAUAGAAGUAAAGCUGGGAUAUAUGGAAGGUGUACUUCUUAGUUUGCUUUCUACAUGGAGACAGAUUUAUCAAACCAAUUUAAUUGAUCGAUCACCCCAAGUGAACUUAAUUUAAUUGCAACUUAACCAGAUAUAUUGAUUAUUAAACAAAUCAGGUAGGUAAACUUCAACAUCGUAACCAUACAUCUUUUGGGACAAGCACAUAAUGAAAUACUAUCAAACAUCACACAGAUCACAUAGAUACUAAUCUAAGACACUCUCAAAACUCUUACCAAAAACCUAUUUGAAUUGCAAGCAGGAAAAUAAUGGCAACAGGUUGAUGGACUCGGAACCAGAGCUGUCUUUCACGGGGCAAUGUAUACGGCCACGGGAACUUAUUUGCUAAGCUAGUUAGGAGAUCCUGAUAAGGGCAGACUCGUUGGAUGGAUCUUCUUGAACAUCCUCAAGGAGAAGCAACCACCAGAAAUGGUCUUUUCUGCAGGAUGAUUAUGCUCAGCUACUUCCUGAAUACGUACACCCUGCAUUCUUUUGAUCUUCUCUUUAUGCAGCCGUUUCAUAGCAUAUACCUCUGCCAUGCCACCAGUAGCUAUGGACAUGGUGAUGAUUUCUGAACAACUUUUGUGGACGAAGCAAGAAUCAAUUAGAGAAAAAGAAUUUGAUAUCUGUUGUGGGGAGUUGCGAGGGUUGCAACUUCUUUAUGGCUCUAUUUGUAGUCAAGAAACCGUACUUUUUUGUUACGAACGGGGCCUUGGGCGACACCGACGGGCACUUUGGCUUUCAAGUGGAAACCAUAUCCCAUGAAUAAUCAAAUAUGGUACGAGCACCCAAUGAAAAAGUAUCAUGUGACAAAAUCUGAGGUGGCGUUGCAGCUAAAUAUUGGUCAUUUGGCACUCAGAUGUCUUCGCACCAUAAAUAACUCUAGUAAUCUUUAAUUAGGUAAGAUAAUAUUCUUUCAUUUUUUUUAAAUUCAAGGUGAAACUCUAAAAUUUAUAAAAAAGGAAAAGCACAGAGUUUUGAUUUUGAGAGUUGAACUAGGGAGCAUGUGAGGGCUUGAGAGUUGAACAAUGGAUCUCAUAGACCUCAAAGCUGUCAAGUUAAUGCCUAUUCCUUUAUUAAUACCCUCAUCUACUGAUCAUUCUUCUAAUGGAAUUUAUGUUCAUAUCAAAUUGAUCAACUUAAAAUUUUGUCUUCUAAAUGCCUGUAAUCUUUAGUGGAGGGUUCUUAAUGUUCUAAUAUCACAUCAAUUCGAUCAAAUUUCUUAAAUUUCAAUUGUCAUUAAUAACUAUAGUUAUGAAAAAAGAUAAUGAAUUAAGCCCGUUUAAAGUUGCAAUGACUUAUUGAAAAGUACUUCACCUAAUAAAUUUUUUUCAUAAAAAUGCUUAUUAAAUGUUUGUUUAAGUACCUUCAAAUCUGUUAGUUAGAUACAUAUUUCAAUAAGUAUUCAUUGCAUGGGUUAAUAUGUAAUUUAAAUUUUAUUAAAUGUAUUUAUUUAUCUCUUUAUUGAGUUCAUAAUGUAGGAUUAAAUGACAAAUUUUAAUAUUUAAUUUUUUUUUUCAAAUGUGAAAACUAUAUUAAAAACACCAAAUUUUUUGAAUUUUUGCUAAAAACGCUUUUAACACCAAAAGUUUACUCCUAAAAUCAUCUAAUGAUAUUCACUAAAUGCUUCAAAAGCAUUUACAUCACUCAAAAGUGUUUUUUUUUUACCAAAAGCACCUCACUCCCAAAUCACCGCAAAAAGCACCAUACUUCCAUUCCAAUGGUGAGAUAAUGAACACAGCUGUAAAAUUUGACAACUGAUUUAAUCAUUAAGAGUCUAGUGUUGCACUAAGAGGGUGAUCAACCAAUGUAAUUAAAAACAAAACAGAAAAGCCGAUUCAAGGUUCGAUUCGUUAAAUUUGUAAUUCGAGCACGCCAUUGCUGGCUCCGGCCAGAAGUGCGGUCUGCGUAUUAAAGCAUUUGUCCUCGCUUUCGAGGAGGUUGAAUGUUGAUUCCACGUGGUGCCCAUUAGCACAGAUGAUGAUGAAAUGAAAGGAUGCUCUAAUACUAGUGCUUUAUUGAUGUUUCCCUGCUUUUUGUCACACUUUCUUCAAAGCGGAAAAGUUAAAUUUAAAAGAAAAAGGAAAAAGGGGCUCGAGCAAGGCCCCAGCUGAAUUUGGAGUUUGAGUUGUUAGAGUACAGGGCAAAUUACACUUUAUCCCUCAUAGUUUAGUAUUUUUGUAUAUAAUUCUCUAUGAUUUCAAAAGUUAUACCUAACCCUCUCAUAGUUUGGAUUAAAGUAUUAAAGUAACCAAAUUUGCAAUCCAUAACGGAGUCACCUAAAAUAUCAAAAAUGCCCUUAUGUAAAAUUAAAAAUUAUUUAUUAACCACAGGAAAUGUUAUGUGUAUAUUUUGAAAAUCAUAAGGGGUUAUAUGACAAAACAUUAAACUAUAAAGGGGUUAUAUGGUAAAACAUAAAAUCAUACGGGGUUAGUGCGUCAUGUAUAUUAUAGUGCGUCAUGUAUAUUAUGUUUAUAUAUUUUGGUCACUUCAACCAUUUUAAUUUUUAAAUAAGGGUAAUUUCGAUAUUUUUAAAAGUUUCGUUACGAAUAGUCAUUUCCAUUAGUUUGACACUUUAAUCCAAAUUAUUAGGUGGUUAUAUAUAGUUUUUGAAACUAUAGGAGGAUUAUGUAUAAAAAUACUAAACCACAAGAGGUUAAAAUGUAAUUUACCCUAGAUUAUAUUACUACAAUUUAACUAAGGUUAUUAUCACUUUACCUUCUUAAAUUAUAUCACUGCUAUCAAUUUAUCCUCUAAUGUUAUCUUUUAGUCAUUUCAUCCCUAUAAGUAAUUUAAUUCAACAUGUUAAGAAAAUUUGGACAAAAAUACCCCUUUAUUCUAUAGCAUUAUCACAUUGUUAUUAUCAUUUUAUCCCUUAAAAUUAUAGUGAUAUAAUCACUUUAAUUCCUAACAUUAUUUUCUAGACAUUUUAUCCCGUCGUUAAUCUAGCUAGUAUGGUAAAAAAAUUUUGAAAUAUAUUUUCCCUUUUAUAUAUAAUUAAAAAUAAUUAUUCUUCCUUUUUUUUCACUUUAAGAGAUCCAAAAAUAUAAAAAUAAAAGGGUUUUCUCAAAUUUCUUUUUCACACUUAUUAAUACUAUGAAAAGAAAAGGAAAUAGGAAAGAAAGAGACAGAAAAUUAAAUUCUACAAAUAAAGAAAAUAAAGAAGAGUCCAACAUUAUCGUAUUACUUUAAAGUUGUCGAGAUUAGGAUUGAAAUUUGGUGGUAAAUAAAAAAGUAAAAUAAUUUUAAAAUAGUAAAAGUAUUUAAUUCUUUCUUAUUUGUGUAUUUUUUUUAAAAAAGAGAAUUGAAAUCUUUCUCUCUCUCUAUGUCUUUCUCUCCUCCCCUCCCCAUUUUUCUAUUUUUUUAAUAUUAAUAAGAUUGUCAAGAAUAAAGAGAUUAACACUUUGUUUUUUUUUCUUGAUAAUAAAAAAAGAAGAAGAGCCACUUUAAAAUUUUUAUUAUUUUUAUUAUCCAAUGAGGAGGGUACUUUCUUCUAAACUUCUUUAACUUACUAAGUUGGUUUAAUGGUGGAAUAAAUUGUCUAAAAGAUAACUCUGUGGGGUAAAUUGAUAAUAAAGCUAUAGUUUAUGGGGAUAAAGUGAUAAUAAUUUUAAGCGUUAAAUAUGUUUUUUUACUUUAAUUAACAAACUCCAUUAAGUUUGACCGUUAAUUUUGGAGGUAAAGUCACUAAAAGAUAACGUUAAAAAAGAAAUUGAUAGUGAUACCGAACGUUAAGGGAGUAAAGUGAUAAUAAGCCAUUUAACUACUUUGUUGUUCAUUUGGUAUGAGUGGAACUUAGAAAACAUUCGAGUGUGCUCUUAGUUGGAAUUCUCAAAAGUACUGCUAAGAUUGAGUAGACAUCAUGAAACAAAGGUUUUGAUAAUACCAUGAACAAAGAUUAUAGUCUUCAGAUAAUACUAAGCGAUUAAUUAGUGUCAAGAGGAGGUGAGAUUUUUUUUUUUUAACAAAGUUGAGCAUGCUUAAGUCAGAAGCACUUAGACUUAACUCCUUCAGAUCAAUUACGUCAAAGGAUUGUACCUUAUUAGUAUGACAUGGAUUUAGGUAUGUUGCCGAUUUAAUUACAAAAAGUGAAUGAAAAGAUUAUCCCUGGGAAGGAUUUGGUUGUAAUCAAUUUAUAUAAAUCCCACUAUUGUAAAUGUCCCAUUUGAAUUGCUAUUUUUUGAAAAUUUUAUAAAAAAUAUAUAUAUUGUAAUGAUUUGAUAUAUAUGAAAUAAAAAGGUGAUUAAAAAAUAUAUUUAUAAAUAAUGUUAAAACUUUUCUUUAGAAAAAAUUUCCUUACAAAACAUUAAAUGUGCUUGCCAAUUAUACUUAAAUGAAGACAUCUCUUGUUUGAAUUGUGAUUUUUCGUAGAAAGUUUUUUAUGUUUUUUGUUAACAUAUUUUUAAUUAUUUUUAUCUCACAUGCAUCAAAUUUAUAUCUUUUUUUUUUAUAAAAACUCCCAAAAAUACCAAUUCAAAUGGACCGUAAGGGACUCGAGUCCUUGACCUUGAUGGGACAAAGGUCUCAUCGGCAAACCAUUAUCUGUAGUCGAUGGCUUAAAUAAGCUGAACAUGCGCCUUUUUUUCAGUCCAAGCAACAGUGUUUUCCAUUUACGCUCUUCCUCGUACAUAUAUCUGCGUAUAGCGUUGGAGUACAACUUUAGUUUUUUUUUUUUUUCGGCAAAAAUAGAUGUUGUAUAACCUACUCUAACCUAAUCUAAGGGAAGGGGCAGGGAAUGGUCAACUAAGACCAGCAGGAAAUGGUCAACUAAGACCAGCCACAUAUUGUGACUAAAUUGUGGGAGGCAGGGGUUGAUCCCCUGACCUCCAGCAUCACCAUUAGUUGUACUUUAAACAUUUGUUUUGAAUACAUAUCGUUGGCAAUUUUAUUGGUGGCUUUCUCUAACGUUGUGUGGGAACAAGUUCUCGAAUGUCUCAAAGACAAAUGGAAAAGUAGAGGCAUUUCAAUUUUUCAGCAUCAUCACGUCUUGAAACAAACACCAAUUAAAUUAGGGUAAAUUACUAAUAACUCUUUAUGAUUUCAUCUAUUAUCACAUAGCCACCUUAACGUUUCAAAAUAUUUACUUUACCUCUCUAUGAUUUUAUGUAAACUGAAAAUUUAAUAGAAAAUAGUCUAUAUAACGUCAUUCGUUGAAAUAUCAAUAGUAGUCUUAUUUAAAUGCUAAAUCAAAUCCUAACUUGGCCAUAUUAUACAAAAUUAUAAGGAGAUUGCGUGAAUAAAUGCAAAAGUUACGAGAAAUAAAAUAGAUACUUAUGCUAAUCAUAGGGGAGUUAAGUGAAAAUUAUGAUUUCAUCACACGUACUUUUAGAACGUAUGUGUUAAUUACUGUGUGCAUUCCGUCCAUUUUUUACUUUAUAUAAAAUUACAGAAGGAUUAUGUGGUUAUUUUGAAAUCUCAAGAUGAUCAUCUAGCAUUUAUGCAAAACCGUAGGGGAUUAUAUGUAAUUUACCCAACAAAUUGCCGCUAGACGGGUGUAAAUGACUUUUUCUUCCUCAUAAUUGAUAUCUGAAUACCGACUAUUAGUAGCAAAUAUUAAGUACUCAGUCUACGGGACCUAAAUCAAAGCAGUGUACACCAACUCUUGUAAAUUAAUGUCUUCUCUGAUAUAUGUGUUUGAAAAACUUUGCAACUUAAUUAGUAUUUACACCACUUCCCUUUUAUUCAAAAUUUCUUCAUUUUAUAGAAUAGAAAUAAUCUUCUUGAGCAGACAACUUUUGUCAAUAUACAUUUUCUUGAAUUUUGACGCCCUCAAAUUACAAUAAUUUUAAUGUCCCUUUGAUCUCCUGCUGCGCUGCUACACCUGUUAACAAAUAUUUCAUUUGUCCUUUCUGUAUGCGCCCCACUUUGACUUUCUCCCACACUUUUUCUUUAUCCCUCACCCUUAAAAAAAAAAAGAAAAGAAAAGAAAAAGCUAAUCUAGUACUGAUCCUGUUUUCUAUUGUCAGUUCUAAAUUUGAGUUGGAUAUUUAAUUUUAACAUGAAAAGAACUUUAAUUCUAGAUACCAAGAAAUUCGUUAAUAGAAAAUGGAAGCACUCAUAUACGAUGAUGUAUCAUCAGCUUUUCUGAGUACCACAAGAAACGGAAUCUAGUUCUAUAGAUUUCCGUAGCAAGAAUCUAGAUUCUGGUGGGCUGAUAAAUUCUGCCAUUUUCUGUGAUUUAGUAAUCAACAGGUGAAGUUAUCGCCCUUUUUAUACCUCAAGGCUUGAAGAUUCGGCCACUCGGAUUAAUUUAUACAACAUGUGUUCUCAUACCUAAUUUGGAGAUAAUGUCCUCCGCAUAUGCAAAAAUCUUCAAAAGCCCAAAAGAAAUGGAUAAUUCUUGAGCAUUAAUGAAUGAGGUCCAUACAUUAAACAAGCCAUUUUCAUGUAAACUCUUAACUAGAGCGAUAAGGAAAAGAUUGCAAACAAUCUUGUUCGAUCUUUCUGAUGAAAAUAGUAAUAUAUUGCUUGCCCUUUUUUUUUUAUUUUUGGAUAAAAUAAUAUAUUGCUUACUUGAAUAGUACGAGAACAGGAUACCUCGGAACACUUUUGAUUCUUGCUUCACAGAAACCAGACAAUAUACUAUGCUAUCAUCUGCGGAUAAAGAUGGACUUGUUAAUGUGCUGUAAUGCCUGUUACUAUGAGCAGUUACAAUUCGUAAUUACCAAACAUUUUUCAAAUUUGAUUUAAGCCAUCUCAGUCAGUAAAAAAGCCCGUUAGAACCUGAUUCAAACCAAAUGAAAAUUCAGACCAAUUAUAUAUAUUGCAUACAUACAAAUUCCAAUUAUAUUCCUGCUGAUGACAAACUACAGCUUUGUAUUUUCUUUCAAUGUUCAGUCAAUCAGCUAGGUAAUAAUCGAUAUAGUACAUGACAUGUUUUUAACUUUAGUAACUAGUAAUAAUAACCACCGGAGUCGGCGGAGGCUCUUUAGCUUUUUCCUACUAUCAGGUUCAGAGUUUGAAUCUUGUGCCUAAUAGUUGGCGGUGGGAAGGAUAAAAGAAGAAAAAAACUAGUAAUAAUAAUAAUGUAAUCUCUUAUAGCAGAAAUCAUUUGAUCAUCAGCUCUUUUUAGUCCCUGAUGAUUGCUGCGAAGAAUGUGAAGAGGGAUUUUUUGCGCUUGGACGGACCUUCUUGAACGGCAACAUGGAGAAGCAACCAGUGCUGCUAUGAUGUGAAACUUUCUUCCGACUCCAACAACUGCAAUGGGCUUCUGCUUCCUCAGCUUCAUCCUCCCUUCCCUUCAUUUUCUCCUUGUGCAGCUUUCUCAUUACAUAAACUUCAGAUAGAUCAAGACCACUACCCAUCGACAUUGGCUCGUUAUUCUAAGGUAUACCCUUAUUCACUAAUUACAAGUAGUAAACAACUGCUAUCUUUAGUUCGGGUUGGACUGUGAUGUGAAGGUUCGGAGCAGUCUUGGCGUGGAAUUUAUACAGAUUCCUGUAAGCUUGGGGGUCACGCAAAUUUUUGACUCCAGUCAGAAGUUUCUGUAUGGUUUGUCUGUUAGUCUUCAGCCAACUCACCAAUAGCUGAGUGGUGGACAAGCAAGAGUGUAGGACAAAAAUUUUGAUGCUUUCUUGUGGAAAUGUUGCAGUAGUAGUAUUCUUUUGACUUGGGUGUGUGAAGUGAUGGAACACAACGACAGGAUAUACGAAUAAAACUUCAAAUUCAGCACAAAUUUGAAGGCUUGUGAUUUCAAUUUGCUAGUUUUAGAUUACAAAACUUAUAAAGGAUUCACAAUAAAUGUUUGGAUAGCACAAAUAUCUCAAAUAAUCUUUCGCUUGCAUCGUAAACACAUUUCCCAACUCACCUUUUUAUAUUCUCAAUUAUCUUUUUAUAUAUCUCACAUACAUCACAUCACAAAAAGUGCUACAGUAAUUAUUCCAAAUAAUAUUUCAAAUAAUACUCUAUCCAAGUUUUUUAGAUUAAAAAGUGUUUGGAUUGUAAAUUAUUUCAGAUAUUUUUACUGUAACACUUUUUGUAAUGUGAUGUAUGUGAGAUAAAAAGGUAAUUGAGAAGAUAAAAAUGUGUAUUGAAAAUUAUAAUGGUGAUGUAAGCAAAUAUAUUUGGACAAAUAAUCUCCCGUCCAAACACACAAUUAGUAAUACUGUACUUCCUUUUUUUUUUUUUCUUUCCUAGUUUUGGACUUUAGUUUCAAGUCUGGCUACACAAGUGUUCCAAAGCUAACAUAUAAAAUGGAAUUGUACACAAUUGUAACAUAAAAUAUUACAAGAGCCCAGACUCAUCUUUGACAACUCUUAUUGCAUAAGAGAAUCCAAGAAUAAACACUUUGAUCUAGUCUUUAGUCUUUACAGCUGAAAGAUCAGUCCUUCCAGGAAAUAACGUUUGCAAAAUCUUUGACAGUUGACAGGAGUCUUCCACUUCCAUGAAACUAUGCAAUUCUCACGCGGAAAAUUUUUCACGGGAGCAUCCUUCGAGGGCCUAGGAGACUGUUUUUCUCUCUCUUUUCCUCCAAACGCAGCCUUAUUUGGAUUGCUAUUUUUAAGAGUUUUUAUAGAAAAAUAUAUUAUAACGAUUUAAUGUGUGUGAAAUAAAAAAAUAUUUAAAAAAAAUGUAAAAAUUUUUCAUGAAAAAUCACAGUCCAAACAAUAAUGAGAAAAAAAAAAAGAAACAUUUAUGCCGCGUGGAGGGUUAGGGACUUGUGAACUUAGCGGUCAAAAUUGUGGCCCGGUUUGAAACAAGGACAUCUCCUCCAUCAAGGCUCCGCGGCAUUACAUUUCACGCUCUUCCAUGGAAAAACACGCCCCCAGCUUAAAUCCUCAGUUUAAAUCUCUGCUUCAUGACAAAUUCGAAUGUAAUCCUUCUCGGAUACAUUAUCCAAGAUUAUUAACAACUCAAAUAUCAUAGACUCUAAAAGCAGGAAAUCAACUUGUAAAACGUGUGCAACUAGCUUGUUUCGAUUGUUGGUUUUUUACAGAAAAAUUUUUAUAUUUUUCGUGAACAUAUUUUUCAAUCAUUUUUUUUAAUCUUACGUGAAAGUAUAUUUAUUUACAAAAACUCCUAAAAAUAACCAUUUCAAAAAGAUUCUUGGCUAUUUUCGCGAACUGCAAAGCAAGGGGUUUAUUGAUGGACGAUGAGGACAUCUUAAGGACAUCUUAACCCUCAUAAAGUAUUGCUCUCAAUCUCAAUCAACAUGUCGUCAUGCGUGACUGACCCGUUUGAUGAGUUGAUCAAAAUAUCUGCUCAAUUCUGUGAUAUCCUUUAUUCCAUUAAUUAUGGAAAAUCAAUACAUUAACUUCAGCCUUUAGGCGACCCUAUGCAAGCACGGGAAGAUUGGAACUUCAAUUUCCUAAAAGAAAUAUAUGAACAGGUACAAGAAUCAAGUAGAAAUUUAUUUAUUCCAUAUAAUUGUUAUGCACUCCAUACAAAUCAAGAUAAUCAUAGACCAUCAAUCGGACAAAAAAAAUAAAAAGAAAGAAAAGAAAAGGGGAUCAAAGAAUGGGAUGCAAGUUAAAAAUGUACAGGGACUUGGCAGCCAAAGAAGCAGAACCAAAAUCCCGUGAUAUACAACAGUAGCUCCACUCAUUUCAAGAUUGCACAGCGGAUUCUGACGAAGGGAGGACUGCAGAACUCGGGUGGACUUUCUUGAACAUCCUGGAGACGAAACCACGGGAAGAAUUCUUGGUUUUUUGAGCAGCACAACUACUUUUUUCAUGGCCUUUCUGAUCCUCACGACCGGCUUCAACCUUCUCCAUCCUCUUCAGUUUUUCUUCGUACUUCUUCUUCAUGACAUAGGCUUCGGCAAGGGGGGCACUGAAACUCGACAUGGCUAAUCCUCAAUCAAUUGAACAAACGGUUUUAUCCGGAAAAACAAGAAGAGAGAAAAAGGUUGUAGGCUUAACGACGUGGGUUUUGGAAUUGAAGUGGUUUUUGACAAUGGAGAAUUGGGAGAGGCCUUAAUGGGGUAUAUAUAUAGAUUCUUGGGGGAUUGGGGAGUACGCAAUGGAUGACUCGAGAAGAUCCUUUCUUGGGGAAGUCUGCGUACGAAGGAACAAAGUCGGAUGUUUCGGGUUCCUAGUUGCUACAAGAUGGAAAGUGGCCUUGACGUUGAUUUAAUAGAUGAAGAAAAGAAUUUUGAUGUCACCGCUUUGCUGCCUUUCCCUAGGUGGCAAGGAAGUUUCCACUGGAGUCGGAGUGUAGGUUUCCUUGAAGUGGGAACUUAAUAGGUUUAUGGUUUAUAACCUCGUCAUCUGGUCAACAAUGGCGUGAGGUUCAGUAACUCCAAGUUUACGCCAUUCGAUGCGCUGAAUCAAGGCUGACUUUAGGAUAUGGC
rnacentral:lncRNA from 1 species